ensembl:snoRNA SNORD102 small nucleolar RNA, C/D box 102
GGCUUGAUGAUGAUUGUCUCUUAUGAUUGCUUCUGCAAAGUGAGCAAAUCAUUUCACCGGCACUGAAAGCA